AGAUUGACUUGGGUCUGGGGAGUGUUAGAGAUGUGCAUUGGAUCUGCCUAGAAACCAACAAUAAAGGAAGAAUAUGGGCCAAAUUCCUUUGAAAAUGCUGGACUAAUUGCCUGGUUACAUUACCUCCCUGCUCAAGUUUGGACACAGUAUUUUGUCUUACUGUUGAACUGAAUACCAUUCCUGGAAUAAAAGAGGUCUGCCUAAAAAAAAAAAAAAAAAAA